rnacentral:rRNA from 1 species
CAAUAGCGUAUAUUAAAGUUGUUGCAGUUAAAAAGCUCGUAGUUGGACUUGUGCUUGGCCCUGAUGUCCUUUUUGGUACGUUCAGGGCUGUGCAUCCUUGGGUGGAACCUGUGUGGCAUUAGGUUGUCGUGCAGGGGAUGCUCAUCGUUUACUGUGAAAAAAUUAGAGUGUUCAAAGCAGGCUUACGCCGUUGAAUAUAUUAGCAUGGAAUAAUAAGAUAGGACCUUGGUACUAUUUUGUUGGUUUGCGCACCGAGGUAAUGAUUAACAGGGACAGUUGGGGGUAUUCGUAUUCCAUUGUCAGAGGUGAAAUUCUUGGAUUUUUGGAAGACGAACUACUGCGAAAGCAUUUACCAAGGAUGUUUUCAUUAA